rnacentral:tRNA from 1 species
CUAAUGUGUCAGAUUUAAUGUAUUAAAUUUAAGAUUUAAAUAUGAAUUUUUUAUUCCUUUAGUA